AUUUGUGGGGAGGGGGCAUAUUUAGUGACAUAAAGUUUAUCGGAGGGGUUGGUUUUGUGGGGGCUAAAAAAAUAAAUAAACUAAAGCCCUUCUCCUCCCCGCUCUCUAUCUCUCUACCUGCUCCGCACCCUCUCCCGCCACCUCCGCCGCGAGGUGUGGCGGCCGCUCCCCUCGAGCAGCGGCCGCUCCUCGGACUGGGAGCUGCCGCGGCAGUUCACGUACGUGCCCGCGAACGGCCGCGGCCUCUAUGACCUCGCGGUGGUCUCGGACCUCGUAGAGAGCUAGCGUCCGCAGCCCCAGCGCAGCGAGCGCCCCAAGGGGGCCGACGCCUUGGAGUGCGCGGACUGCGAGAGGCUGUUGGCGUAGCGGCCGCCCGAGCUCGUGGAGCAGCUCCGCCCCGAGCCAAGCGACGCGCUGGAGCUGGAGUCGUUGUUAGCGUAGGUUCUACACCUGCUGGAGCGCGGCGAGCGGGCGGAGGCGGAGCAGAGUGAGCUGGAGAUGCUCACGGGGCAGUGCGCCCAGUUCCUGAUGUCUAGGUCCCACAAGCCCAACUAGGCCUGAGAGUUCAUGGAGCUGUUCUACCUGCGGCUGCUCUUGCUCGCGGGCCUCAGCCUGCUGCUGCUGCUGCUACCCCUGCCGCUUCCACUACCGCUCCUUCUUCUACUACUACUCCUGCUGCUACUGCUCCUAGGACCUUCGCCGCUCCACCGUUUGCCCCCGCAGAGGGUGAGCGCUCCAUCGCACCGUGGCGCGGGUCACCUCCACUUACCCCACUAGCUACACCUACUCCUACUCUCGCUCCGGCUGCUCCAGCACGGGUUACCCCCUCGGCUCGUGGUGGUGUCCCGGUUGCCCAAGUCCCAACGUCGCCAACCCCAUCGGGGACUACUCCUACUACUUCUGCACCUCCUACUGCUGCUGCUACGUCUGCUUCUCAUACUCCUCCUACUAAACCCUCUCCUCUAUCUACUCCUCCCACUACUUCUACUGUGACAACAACUCCAUGAACUGCACGGGUCAUCACUACUACUCCUCCUACCGUAGCUACUCCUACUACUACUACUCCUCCUCCAACUCCUACUACUACCACUCCUCCGACUCGGUCUCUCAUCACCCUCCCAACGAUGCCGCCACCCCCCGCAACCUCUUCUCUAGCUACCUGUACUCGUUCCACUUCCACUACUACUCCUACUCUUACCACUCUAGCCUCUCCUUCUGCUCCUUUCUAACCUCCUAUCAUCCCAAAUACUCCUCCUGUUGCUACUACUGCUACGACUACUACUCCUACUUCUGUGUCUUAUAGAACAAGUUGGUUAACACUGCGGGGUUCGGCACCGACAACCUUCAGGUCCCCUGAAACUAUAACGACUGGGACUACUACAACUACUUCUGUCUCUGCUCCAACUACUACUACUGCUACUCCCACCACGUCUGGUCGGCAGCAGGAGCGUCCCAUGGUUCGCCUUCUCCCUACUACUGGGUAGUCCGUCGCCGUCGCUGCUACUCCUACUACUAUUACUUCUGGGCUCCGGCAAGUUCGUGGUCACUGGUAACAUGUACCUAGUAGGGGAAGGAGUGGGGAAGAAGAGUCCAUCUUUCUUCAUUAGUCCUCGUCGUCGUCGUCGUCGUCGUUUUGUCUUUACCACCCAAAGGGGGACAAAAGGAAUCGGCAAAAAGAACAUUUCUGAAACCAAACCCCUCCCGAAGUGGGAGGAAAAAUUUGUCGUCUAAAAUCCUCCCUUUUACCUCAACAUCAGUCACUUGGUCGAAGGGAGAAACGGACGUGGGAACGACUCAAAAGGGAGGUAUUAAACUUUACCAUCAAUGUUGUGGGGUCCCCCAAAGGGAGGUAGGAAACUUUAAGGACAAUGUUAACGGUCAUAUCCGACGUGUAACAGUCCAAAGGGAGGUUCUCUUUCGGGCCCUUUACCGGGGGAAACUUUACGGGGAUCAUCGGCAACGGACGUAAACUUUUUAAAUAUGAAACGGGACCAACUUGACAGACAGACACGACACACGAAGAAUGACUACUACUGACCGGCGGCCGAGACGGGACGGCCGCCAAGACGCGCCCGCGAUGGACGAAACUCUAUCCACUUUACCGACACCAACGUCGCUACCGAGGGAGGGAGGAUAUCGUUUACCCGAAACCUCAAUAAAUCGUUAAAAACCGAUGGCUCCGAAGCGGAACGCGACGACACAGAGACCAAGUGCCACCACACGAGGCACGGCCAGAUGGUUGCUCCGGGCUCGACGCAGGGAGACGGUCCACCCAGGGGAAGGCACCGAUCGAAAGCGGAGCGCCUCGGAACUAAAAAGCAACUCUUCUCAUUUUCCCCCUCCGGCGCCACCCACCCACCCACUCCUACGCUACGCUACCGCCUCAUGUCGACGAGGGAAAGCGAAAAGAAAAACCGUUCAACGCGGCGCGUCGCGCUCACCACCCACCCCAUUGCGCUGGCCACCGCCGCGCUCGGCACUACCGGACCGCGCGGCACCGCACUCCGCGCCCUACUCGCGCGACGGACAGCCACCUCGCCGAGCUCCUCCUCUCUUUUCUAGGGUCGCCUAAACCCACCUACGGUAGGAACCUACGAAGGGCAAAGAUCCCGCUGGGACGACGAAAGAAACCGGCUACCCCCUAUAAUGCGGGGACGGGGACGGGGACGGGACUCGAGAGACCGGGUAGGCAUAACUUAUAGGCCGAGGGGCUCAAACUGCGCAGAGACGCGACGCGACUUUAAUUUUGCCUCCCCCUUCUUGCUGUGCGGAGGGAGACGCAAACGGCCCAGGUGCGACGCACGACCAGGGCGUACAGUCAGCGAGUGCCACGCAAAACGACGAAGCGCAAAGCGAAGCCUCUAGAUAUACGCGGCGGCGGCUUGCCACGACCUAAUCCAAUUGAUCCCACGUAUAAAAGAAGAGCGACCUCAUUAGUCGCCCGGGCAGACCUGACUUUCGACAUGCGCUCACCUGCCUAGUCCAAGUUCCAUCGACCUUUAAGGUAUACAUCUUUUAUAUAAUUACCAACCAAUUACCAAUAAUAACCCUCAUUAAUUGAACCCGGUCGUCGUACGGAACGGGGCGCGCGAGACGCGGCGCCACCUGAGCCAGGUAUGGUGCAACACGGCGACGCAGAACACCGGGUGGCACAAAGAUCCGAGAAGACUGACACACCAGGCACAGAUGUCUAGGGACGCGCGUUGCCGGCGCUACUCCUUCCUCCCCUGUCGGUCCUGUCCGUCCGCUGGUGCGCUACGGGCACUCGGCACACCAGCAAGCACCACCCCUCGACGUCCUAGCCUGCCGUGACCUACCUUUCGCCAACGCACGCGAACACGACGCCGCACCUCGCCCGGGAGCCGAGUGGUUCAACGCCCGCCCACGGUAAAACGCAUACACCUGGCCCGGAUCUCCGACGUCGCGCAACCCCUGAACCCUUCAGUUUCAUCAAACCGGCCCAGUCCGUACGCCCCCCGGUACCCCGGUGGCAGUCACUUCACCCUCUCCUCUCUCGUUGCCUUUUGCUGGGCUACGACCCGCCCGCUGUCAAGGUAGAUUUUUUUUCUUUCUUUCUUUAUAAACGUCAAGUGGCUCUCGUUAUAUACGAGGCAAACAAUCUAAGUCUCUUCAAUUGUAAGCUGUACGAGUAUGGUUUCAGCGAGAUAUUAGUUUCAAUGAGUCUUUUUUUUUAGCGAGAUAUACUUCCGGUUUUCCAACGUGGGAGUACAUAGGGGAUCGGUUUUAUUUCGAUCACUAACAGAACGAUCAAAACGAUCCGUUUCUUGAUACUACACCGAUCCAAGCCCGGGAGGGUCCCAGGAUCUUAACCACGUUCUGAUCGCUUGGAGCGCGCCGCCGUGCAGCGCGGGCAGAUAAUAUGUAGGACCAAAUAAAACACGUAAGUGAAGUAAACAUUAUACAAUUAAUCUCUCGUUAGAACCC
rnacentral:rRNA from 1 species